rnacentral:rRNA from 1 species
UUCCAGACUCCUACGGGAGGCAGCAGUGGGGAAUAUUGCACAAUGGGGGAAACCCUGAUGCAGCAACGCCGCGUGAAGGAAGACGGUUUUCGGAUUGUAAACUUCUAUCAAUAGGGAAGAAAGAAAUGACGGUACCUAAAUAAGAAGCCCCGGCUAACUACGUGCCAGCAGCCGCGGUAAUACGUAGGGGGCAAGCGUUAUCCGGAUUUACUGGGUGUAAAGGGAGCGUAGACGGUGAUGCAAGUCAGAAGUGAAAGCCCGGGGCUCAACUCCGGGACUGCUUUUGAAACUGUGUGACUGGAGUGCAGGAGAGGUAAGCGGAAUUCCUGGUGUAGCGGUGAAAUGCGUAGAUAUCAGGAGGAACACCAGUGGCGAAGGCGGCUUACUGGACUGUAACUGACGUUGAGGCUCGAAAGCGUGGGGAGCAAACAGGAUUAGAUACCCUUGUAG